GACGAACCGUGCAAACGUUAUUCGGAAUCACUGGGCAUAAAGGGCGCGUAGGCGGCUUUCUAAGUCAGGGGUGAAAUCCGGCAGCUCAACUGUCGCAGUGCCUUUGAUACUGGAGAGCUCGAGGGAGGUAGGGGUCUGUGGAACUUCCGGUGGAGCGGUGAAAUGCGUUGAUAUCGGAAGGAACGCUGGUGGCGAAAGCGACGGACUGGAUCUCUUCUGACGCUGAGGCGCGAAAGCCAGGGGAGCAAACGGG
rnacentral:rRNA from 1 species